CCUCGGAUGGCGCAGCCGGUAGCGCUUUUGUUCAUCAAUCAGAGGGCUCGGGUUCGAACCCAACUGGAUUC